GACGGAGGGUGCUAGCGUUGUUCGGAAUUACUGGGCGUAAAGGGCGCGUAGGCGGCCGCUUGCGUCGGAUGUGAAGGCCCGGGGCUCAACCCCGGAACGGCAUCCGAUACGGGGCGGCUCGAGACCGGGAGAGGAGGGUGGAAUACCCAGUGUAGAGGUGAAAUUCGUAGAUAUUGGGUGGAACACCGGUGGCGAAAGCGGCUCUCUGGCCCGGUUCUGACGCUGAGGCGCGAAAGCGUGGGGAGCAAACAGG
rnacentral:rRNA from 1 species